AUGUGUCCGGUUUAGUCUCGUAGUGACUGCGGAGGGAUCAUUACCGAGUGAGGGCCCUCGUGGCUCGACCUCCAACCCUUAUGUGGACCACACUUGUUGCCUCGGGGGCGCCCCGGCCUCCGCGCCGGGGCCCCCGAUGGACCCUUCAACUCUGCAUCUGUACGUCGGAGUCGAAACGAAAAAUGAAUCAAAACUUUCAACAACGGAUCUCUUGGUUCUGGCAUCGAUGAAGAACGCAGCGAAAUGCGAUAAGUAAUGUGAAUUGCAGAAUUCAGUGAAUCAUCGAAUCUUUGAACGCACAUCGCGCCCUCUGGCAUUCCGGGGGGCACGCCUGUUCGAGCGUCAUUACACCACUCAAGCCUGGCUUGGUAUUGGGCGACGGGGACUCCCCGCGCCUCCAUGUCACCGGCGGACGACCCGUAUCUCAGCGUUGUGGCACAAAUUCGCUGGCGAGAGGGGGGCGGUCCGGCCGUUAAAACUCAUCUCAGGUUGACCUCGGAUCAGGCGGGGAUACCCGCUGAACUUAAGCAUAUCUUAGCCCGAAGGACGCUCGGAUCAGGCUGGGAUACCCGCUGAACUUACCAUAUAUCGUGCGGAUAAGAAAAAUCA
rnacentral:rRNA from 1 species